rnacentral:rRNA from 1 species
UGGGCAAUCUGCCCUUCUCAUCGGAAUAAGCGUUGGAAACGACGUCUAAUGCCGAAUACGACCUCCUUUCGCAUGAUCGGAGGUGGAAAGCUCCGGCGGAGAAGGAUGAGCUCGCGGCCUAUCAGCUAGUUGGUGUGGGUAAUGGCCCACCAAGGCGACGACGGGUAGCCGGCCUGAGAGGGUGACCGGCCACACUGGGACUGAGACACGGCCCAGACUCCUACGGGAGGNAG